GAUGAACGUUGGCGGCGUGCCUAAUACAUGCAAGUCGAACGAAGACUGUAGUAAUACUGUCUUAGUGGCGAACGGGUGAGUAACGCGUGGGUGACCUGCCCCGAAGUGUGGGAUAACAGUCCGAAAGGAUUGCUAAUACUGCAUAAUAUCCAAGAGAUUAGAUGCUUUUGGAUUAAAGGAGUAAUUCGCUUCGGGAGGGGCCCGCGUCCCAUCAGCUAGUUGGUAAGGUAAUGGCUUACCAAGGCGAUGACGGGUAGGGACCUGAGAGGGUGGCCCCCCAAAUGGAACUGAAACACGGUCCAUACACCUACGGGUGGCAGCAGUAGGGAAUAUUGGUAAUGCGCGAAAGCGUGAACCAGCAACGCCGCGUGUGCGAUGAAGGCCUUCGGUUGUAAAGCACUUUUCGGGAGGAAGGAGGAAGGAACUGUACUCCCAGAAUAAAGCCUCGGCUAACUACGUGCCAGCAGCCGCGUAAGGCUCGUCUCUA
rnacentral:rRNA from 1 species